rnacentral:misc_RNA from 1 species
GAUGAAGAACGUAGCGAAAUGCGAUAAGUAAUGUGAAUUGCAGAAUUCAGUGAAUCAUCGAAUCUUUGAACGCACAUUGCGCCCGCCAGCAUUCUGGCGGGCAUGCCUGUUCGAGCGUCAUUUCAACCCUCGAGCCCCCCCGGGGGCCUCGGUGUUGGGGGACGGCACACCAGCCGCCCCCGAAAUGCAGUGGCGACCUCGCCGCAGCCUCCCCUGCGUAGUAGCACACACCUCGCACCGGAGCGCGGAGACGGUCACGCCGUAAAACGCCCAACUUCUUAGAGUUGACCUCGGAUCAGGUAGGAAUACCCGCUGAACUUAAGCAUAUCCAAUAAGCGGAGGA